UGGCUCAGGACGAACGCUGGCGGCGUGCUUAACACAUGCAAGUCGAACGGUGAUCUCGGAGCUUGCUCCGGGUGAUCAGUGGCGAACGGGUGAGUAACACGUGAGUAACCUGCCCCAGACUCUGGGAUAACCCCGAGAAAUCGGAGCUAAUACCGGAUACGAGACGCACGGGCAUCUGUAGCGUCUGGAAAGAAUUUCGGUCUGGGAUGGACUCGCGGCCUAUCAGCUUGUUGGUGAGGUAACGGCUCACCAAGGCGACGACGGGUAGCCGGCCUGAGAGGGCGACCGGCCACACUGGGACUGAGACACGGCCCAGACUCCUACGGGAGGCAGCAGUGGGGAAUAUUGCACAAUGGGCGCAAGCCUGAUGCAGCGACGCCGCGUGGGGGAUGAAGGCCUUCGGGUUGUAAACCCCUUUCAGCAGGGAAGAAGCGAAAGUGACGGUACCUGCAGAAGAAGCGCCGGCUAACUACGUGCCAGCAGCCGCGGUAAUACGUAGGGCGCAAGCGUUGUCCGGAAUUAUUGGGCGUAAAGAGCUCGUAGGCGGUUUGUCGCGUCUGCUGUGAAAACCCGAGGCUCAACCUCGGGCCUGCAGUGGGUACGGGCAGACUAGAGUGCGGUAGGGGAGACUGGAAUUCCUGGUGUAGCGGUGGAAUGCGCAGAUAUCAGGAGGAACACCGAUGGCGAAGGCAGGUCUCUGGGCCGCAACUGACGCUGA
rnacentral:rRNA from 1 species